GGAAAAAGAUCACAUCCAAAGUCAUGAUCAACCUGGAAUGCAGUCAUACCACACACUUUUAAUCCCUCUGGCUGGAAUAUAUACCUUUGAUUCCUCUGGCUAUAAUGCAGACACACCUUCAGUACACAGUUUUAAUCCCGAUGACCUCAAGUUGAGGAGCAAAACAUGUGAGGAAUAAAAGAAUGAUUUGACAGAAUGAAUCAGAGAUCCCUAUCUCAACUCUUGGGAGAACAGUCAGGUAAGAGAAGCUACUUAAAGAGCAGUCAGGGAGAGAGAAUUCAAUUCAGUUGUGCUCAGUUCAAUUAGGAGCAGCUGAGUUCAGAGCAGUUCUGGUUGAGGAGUUCUGAGACUGUUUUUUUCAAGCUGAGCAAUCCGGUCAGAAGAUGAGAGAAGCCUAUUUGAAUCAGACAGCUUGGAGAAAAGUUUAAGGCUGAACAACUGAGUUGAACCAGCUAGCCAGAGAUCAGAAAAAGCUAGAAAAGGUGAGUUUAUUCAGCAGUAAGUCUCAGAGGCUGAAACAUUCUAGGCCUAUGUUAAUAGAAAGAGACUGGAAGCUGAAGGUUUCAAGGUCCAGGCUUGGAGAAGAUUAGAUUGUACCGAGGCUAGAAACUUCCAGGCCUAGGCCUAGGGAUAGUUAGAACAUAGAUAAAAAUGCUCUGGCCUCAGCCCAAGCCAUGUAUUCUGAAAGCUUGGGCCUGGCUCUCACUUCAUUCCUUCCUAUGAGGCAAUAAAAGUGACACAUUUACAACUAACUACCGGUGGGAUACUAACUGCAAAGCAAAGUAGGAGGAGCAUUUUAAAGGAAUUUAUCAAAAUAAUUAUAGGAGGAGAAUACUUUCAUUAAAAAAUAAAUUAGUAUAAUUCUAAUAGAAUCAUAACUCUUUCAAAAGUGCUUCUGUGUACACUCCAUCUUUGUUACCUAUAAUGAUUUGACAUUCAGUUAAAAUUAAGUGCUUCUUCCAGAGUGC
rnacentral:lncRNA from 1 species